rnacentral:lncRNA from 12 species
GGGACAGCAGAGGGGAAGGAUGUGGGGGUGCUGAAGCUGUGCUAUUCCCAGUGGACAAGCAACGGGCAUGUUCAGCCUCCUGCAUCCCCAAAAGCCAGGGCUGCCAGAGAGAGGAUGAGGCUUCUCCUCUCCAGCUCUUACCCCUGCACCAAAACCUUACUGUGCACAGGAUUUCCUUGGGCACCCUGCUCUGCCAUGGGUUAGAAAUAAUAUCCAAAUUCUACUGCUUGGUGGCAGGUGAAACCAUGA